GACGAACGCUGGCGGCGUGCCUAAUACAUGCAAGUAGAACGCUGAAGGAGGAGCUUGCUCUUCUGGAUGAGUUGCGAACGGGUGAGUAACGCGUAGGUAACCUGCCUGGUAGCGGGGGAUAACUAUUGGAAACGAUAGCUAAUACCGCAUAACAUUGACUAUUGCAUGAUAGUCAAUUGAAAGGUGCAAAUGCACCACUACCAGAUGGACCUGCGUUGUAUUAGCUAGUUGGUGGGGUAACGGCUCACCAAGGCGACGAUACAUAGCCGACCUGAGAGGGUGAUCGGCCACACUGGGACUGAGACACGGCCCAGACUCCUACGGGAGGCAGCAGUAGGGAAUCUUCGGCAAUGGACGGAAGUCUGACCGAGCAACGCCGCGUGAGUGAAGAAGGUUUUCGGAUCGUAAAGCUCUGUUGUAAGAGAAGAACGAGUGUGAGAGUGGAAAGUUCACACUGAGACG
rnacentral:rRNA from 1 species